rnacentral:rRNA from 1 species
GACGAACGCUGGCGGCGUGCUUAACACAUGCAAGUCGAACGAUGAACCCGGAGCUUGCUCCGGUGGAUUAGUGGCGAACGGGUGAGUAACACGUGAGUAACCUGCCCUUGACUCUGGGAUAACUGCGGGAAACUGUAGCUAAUACCGGAUACGACCCUCGGCGGCAUCGCCAGGGGGUGGAAAGAAUUUCGGUCAAGGAUGGACUCGCGGCCGAUGAGAUAGUCGGUGAGGUAACGGCUCACCAAGGCGACGACGGGUAGGCGGCUUGUGAGGGUGACCGGCAACAGUGGGACGGAAGCGCGGCCCAGACUCCUACGGGAAGCAGCAGUGGGGAAUAUUGCGCAAUGGGCGCAAGCCUGAUGCAGCAACGCCGCGUGAGGGGUGACGGCCUUCGGGUUGUAAACCUCUUUUAGUAGGGAAGAAGCGAAAGUGACGGUACCUGCAGAAAAAGCACCGGCUAACUACGUGCCAGCAGCCGCCGUAA